GUGGGGAAUAUUGCACAAUGGGGGGAACCCUGAUGCAGCGACGCCGCGUGAGUGAAGACGGUCUUCGGAUUGUAAAGCUCUGUCGUGGGGGACGAUAAUGACGGUACCCCAUAAGAAAGCCACGGCUAACUACGUGCCAGCAGCCGCGGUAAUACGUAGGUGGCGAGCGUUGUCCGGAAUUACUGGGUGUAAAGGGAGCGCAGGCGGGGAGCCAAGUUGGAUGUGAAAUACCGCAGCUUAACUGCGGGGCUGCAUCCAAAACUGGUUUUCUUGAGUGAAGUAGAGGUAGGCGGAAUUCCUAGUGUAGCGGUGAAAUGCGUAGAUAUUAGGAGGAACACCAGUGGCGAAGGCGGCCUACUGGGCUUUAACUGACGCUGAGGCUCGAAAGCGUGGGGAGCAAACAGGA
rnacentral:rRNA from 1 species